rnacentral:rRNA from 1 species
CCUACGGGAGGCAGCAGUGGGGAAUAUUGGUCAAUGGGCGAAAGCCUUACCCAGCAAAGUCGCGUGAAUGAUGAAGGAUCUAUGAUUGGAAAACUUCUUUUAUAUGGGAGUAAAGUGAGGAACGUGUUCCUUUAUGUGUGUACCAUAUGUAUAUGGAUCGGCUAACUCCGUGCCAGCAGCCGCGGUAAUACGGAGGAUCCGAGCGUUGUCCGGAUUGAUUGGGUUUAAAGGGAACGUAGGUGGGUUGUUAAGUCAGUUGUGAAAGUUUGCGGCUAAACCGUAAAAUUGCAGUUGAAACUGGCAGUCUUGAGUACAGUAGAGGUGGGCGGAAUUCGUGGUGUAGCGGUGAAAUGCGUAGAUAUCACGAAGAACUCCGAUGGCGAAGGCAGUUCACUGGACUGCAACUGACACUGAGGCUCGAAAGUGUGGGUAUCAAACAGGAUUAGAUACCCGGGUAGUC